AUGAUGAUUGUUAACGGCGAGUUACAUCACCUAAGUGUCACUGGGGCGUUUCAACGUUGUGUGUCACCUGCAGAAGGCGAAGAAAUACUUCGAAAGAUCCAUGAAGGGGAUUGUGGCCAUCAUGUCGGGUCAAAAUCUCUGGUAGCCAAAGCUUUCCGUCAUGGUUUCUACUGGCUGACGGCUCAUGCUGACGCGGAGGAUCUGGUCAGUAAAUGUGAUGGUUGCCAGAAGUUCUCACGACGAGCUCAUGUGCCGGCUCAAGAAUUGAGGAUCAUGUUCGGUGUCAAAACCGGCGAAUCUCGGGUAGGGGGUCCCGAACUGUGCGUCUAG
rnacentral:rRNA from 1 species